rnacentral:rRNA from 4 species
AAAUUGAAGAGUUUGAUCAUGGCUCAGAUUGAACGCUGGCGGCAGGCCUAACACAUGCAAGUCGAACGGUAGCACAGAGAGCUUGCUCUCGGGUGACGAGUGGCGGACGGGUGAGUAAUGUC